rnacentral:rRNA from 1 species
AGAGCGAACGCUGGCGGCAGGCCUAACACAUGCAAGUCGAGCGCCCCGCAAGGGGAGCGGCAGACGGGAGAGUAACACGUGGGAACGUACCCUUUGGUUCGGAACAACACAGGGAAACUUGUGCUAAUACCGGAUAAGCCCUUACGGGGAAAGAUUUAUUGCCAAAGGAUCGGCCCGCGUCUGAUUAGCUUGUUGGUGAGGUAACGGCUCACCAAGGCUACGAUCAGUAGCUGGUCUGAGAGGAUGAUCAGCCUCACUGGGACUGAGACACGGCCCAGAUUCCUACGGGAGGCAGCAGUGGGGAAUAUUGGACAAUGGGCGCAAGCCUGAUCCAGCCAUGCCGCGUGGAUGAUGAAGGCCCUAGGGUUGUAAAGUCCUUUCGACGGGGAAGAUAAUGACGGUACCCGUAGAAGAAGCCCCGGCUAACUUCGUGCCAGCAGCCGC